UGGGGAAUUUUGGACAAUGGGGGAAACCCUGAUCCAGCCAUCCCGCGUGUGCGAUGAAGGCCUUCGGGUUGUAAAGCACUUUUGGCAGGAAAGAACGUCGCGGGUUAAUACCCCCGAAACUGACGGUACCUGCAGAAUAAGCACCGGGCUAACUACGUGCCAGCAGCCGCGGUAAUACGUAGGGUGCAAGCGUUAAUCGGAAUUACUGGGCGUAAAGCGUGCGCAGGCGGUUCGGAAAAGAAAGAUGUGAAAUCCCCNGAGCUUAACUUUGGAACUGCAUUUUUAAACUACCGGGCUAGAGUGUGUCAGAGGGAGGUGGAAUUCCCGNGUAGCAGUGAAAUGCGUAGAUAUGCGGAGGAACACCGAUGGCGAAGGCAGCCUCCUGGGAUAACACUGACGCUCAUGCACGAAAGCGUGGGGAGCAAACAGGAUUA
rnacentral:rRNA from 1 species